rnacentral:sRNA from 1 species
AUUAGAGGAACCCAGUCUAAGAAUGCCACGUCCUGUGGCAACGACUGAGUGACCAACUUCAUAUUGC